ensembl:lncRNA
GGUUGACUACCCUACGCCACUUCCCGACGGGGACGGUGGAGAGUUGCGAGUUAGAGUCUCGGCAACCAGUCGGGUUAGAGGCCCGAGGACUUAGGGGCACCUCGAAGUAUUUAUUGUGUGUAAAGGUUCAUCUGGGUUAGAGUCCCGGGGAGUUUUAGAACUCCCCAAAUUCUGUAUCUGGGUUAGAGUCCCGGGGAGUUUUAGAACUCCCCAAAUUCUGUAUCUGGGUUAGAGUCCCGGGGAGUUUUGGAACUCCCCAAAUUCUGUAUCUGGGUUAGAGUCCCGGGGAGGUUUAGAACUCCCCAAAUUCUGUAUCUGGGUUAGAGUCCCGGGGAGGUUUAGAACUCCCCAAAUUCUGUAUUGGGUUAGAGUCCCGGGGAGUUUUAGAACUCCCCAAAUUCUGUAUCUGGGUUAGAGUCCCGGGGAGUUUUGGAACUCCCCAAAUUCUGUAUCUGGGUUAGAGUCCCGGGGAGGUUUAGAACUCCCCAAAUUCUGUAUCUGGGUUAGAGUCCCGGGGAGGUUUAGAACUCCCCAAAUUCUGUAUUGGGUUAGAGUCCCGGGGAGUUUUAGAACUCCCCAAAUUCUGUAUCUGGGUUAGAGUCCCGGGGAGUUUUAUAACUCCCCAAAUUCUGUAUUGGGUUAGAGUCCCGGGGAGUUUUAUAACUCCCCAAAUUCUGUAUUGGGUUAGAGUCCCGGGGAGUUUUAUAACUCCCCAAAUUCUGUAUCUGGGUUAGAGUCCCGGGGAGUUUUAUAACUCCCCAAAUUCUGUAUCUGGGUUAGAGUCCCGGGGAGUUUUAUAACUCCCCAAAUUCUGUAUCUGGGUUAGAGGCCCGGGGAGUUUUAGAACUCCCCAAAUUCUGUAUCUGGGUUAGAGUCCCGGGGAGGUUUAGAACUCCCCAAAUUCUGUAUCUGGGUUGGAGUCCCGGGGAGUUUUAGAGCUCCCCAAAUUCUGUAUAAGAGAACUGGGUUCAAGUCCCAAAAAGUGUUGGGUCAGGUACCCGUUAAUCAUUUGUUAAUUAUUCUGAGUCCCGGUAACGUAAGUCAGGUUGAAAUGGACGGGGAGUGUGAGAGAAGUUGAUGACGAUGGGCGGUGUCCAGGCACG